ANNUGACGCAGAACUCCGAUUGCGAAGGCAGCUUACCAACACUUUACGGACGCUGAGGCACGAAAGCGUGGGUAUCGAACAGGAUUAGAUACCCUGGUAGUCCACGCAGUAAACGAUGAAUACUAAUUGUUCGGGGGGCAACCCCUGAGUGAUACAGCGAAAGCGUUAAGUAUUCCACCUGGGGAGUACGUCGGCAACGGUGAAACUCAAAGGAAUUGACGGGGGCCCGCACAAGCGGAGGAACAUGUGGUUUAAUUCGAUGAUACGCGAGGAACCUUACCCGGGCUCAAACGUUGGGGGAAUGCUCCUGAAAGGGAGCAGCCAGCAAUGGUCGCCAACGAGGUGCUGCAUGGUUGUCGUCAGCUCGUGCCGUGAGGUGUCGGCUUAAGUGCCAUAACGAGCGCAACCCCUGCGUCCAGUUACCAUCAAGUCAUGUUGGGGACUCUGGACGGACUGCCGGCGCAAGCCGUGAGGAAGGCGGGGAUGACGUCAAAUCAGCACGGCCCUUACGUCCGGGGCGACACACGUGUUACAAUGGCGUGGAACAGCGGGAAGCCACCUGGCGACAGGGAGCGGACCCCUAAAACACGUCUCAGUUCGGAUUGGAGUCUGCAACUCGACUCCAUGAAGCUGGAUUCGCUAGUAAUCGCGCAUCAGCCAUGGCGCGGUGAAUACGUUCCCGGGCCUUGUACACACCGCCCGUCAAGCCAUGGGAGCCGGNNNNNNNUGAAGUACGUAACCGGAAGGAGCGUCCAAGGGUAACACUGGUGACUGAGGGUAAGUCGUAACAAGGUAACC
rnacentral:rRNA from 1 species